rnacentral:pre_miRNA from 1 species
UUGGAAGAUUUGAAUACUUUAACUUGUAUACUUGGAGAGUUUGAAGACUUCAACUUGCAGGCUUGAAGAAUUUGAAGGCUUCAAUU